AGUCGAACGAGAGAAGAGAAGCUUGCUUUUCUGAUCUAGUGGCGGACGGGUGAGUAACACGUGAGCAAUCUGCCUUUCAGAGGGGGAUACCGAUUGGAAACGAUCGUUAAUACCGCAUAAUAUAAUUGAACCGCAUGAUUUGAUUAUCAAAGAUUUAUCGCUGAAAGAUGAGCUCGCGUCUGAUUAGCUAGUUGGUAAGGUAACGGCUUACCAAGGCGACGAUCAGUAGCCGGACUGAGAGGUUGAUCGGCCACAUUGGGACUGAGACACGGCCCAGACUCCUACGGGAGGUAGCAGUGGGGAAUAUUGCACAA
rnacentral:rRNA from 1 species